GGGGAAUAUUGCACAAUGGGCGCAAGCCUGAUGCGGCCAUGCCGCGUGUGUGAAGAAGGCCUUCGGGUUGUAAAGCACUUUCAGCGAGGAGGAAGGGUUCAGUGUUAAUAGCACUGUUCAUUGACGUUACUCGCAGAAGAAGCACCGGCUAACUCCGUGCCAGCAGCCGCGGUAAUACGGAGGGUGCAAGCGUUAAUCGGAAUUACUGGGCGUAAAGCGCACGCAGGCGGUUUGUUAAGUCAGAUGUGAAAUCCCCGCGCUUAACGUGGAACUGCAUUUGAAACUGGCAAGCUAGAGUCUUGU
rnacentral:rRNA from 1 species